rnacentral:tRNA from 1 species
GCCCCCAUAGCUCAAUGGUAGAGCAGUUGCCUUUUAAGCAAUUGAUCAUGGUUCGAUUCCAUGUGAGGGCACCA